UUAGCAGACAGUUAGCGGCAGUUGGUCUGUGCUACAUGUGUGUUUCACUCAAGUUUAGAGCUAUUAGACAGUUUUUAGCUGCAGUUUGGUCGGUGCGACAUGGGCAUUUUACUCUGAACAGAGCUGAUGGACAGUUUUAGCGCAGUUUGGUCGGUGCAACACGUGCGUUUUACUCUGAACUUCAGAGCUUGACAAUUUUUAGCUGCUGUUUGAUCGGUAAGACGCAUGCGUUUUACUCUGAAAAGAGAGCUGUUAGCAGACAGUUAGUGGCAGUUGGUCUGUGCUACAUGUGUGUUUCACUCAAGUUUUGAGCUAUUAGACAGUUUUUAGCUGCAGUUUGGUCAGUGCAACACCUGCGUUUUACUCUGAACUUUAGAGCGAGACAAUUUUUAGGUGCUGUUUGGUCGGUAAGACGUAUGCGUUUUACUCUGAAAAGAGAGCUGUUAGUAGACAGUAUUUAGUGGCAGGCAGAUCGAUACAACACGUGUUUUACUCUAAACAGAGCACUGCUCUCUUGUAAUUUGUGAAUAUUUGUGUUAAUGUGAUUUAAAUUAACUUUUUCUUGUCAUCAAGGAUGCAGGCUGUACACGUGAAAUACAGGGAUUGUCAGAAGUACAUUUGUUAUGAGGGGCAACUGACCUUCAAAUCCUUUUUGGAUUAUGUUGCCAAUAAAUUUGACAUUCCAACCUUGGACUUAAAAGUCUAUGAUGAAUCGAAGACUGAAGUUGAUGAGGUGUUUGAGAAACAAGACCUUGGUGUGCUGGGAGAUUUGUUUACCCCAAGACACAAAUCCUGAUGGUGAGUUGCUUAUUAGCUUAGAGCUUCACUUCCCCCAUACAGUCCAGGCUAGCCUAACACAUGUUCUGAAUAUGUGAGACAAGCAGAUAUAUCUGCUGAUUUCUUUUCUCAUUUUAAUAUUUUAAAAUGAUCUUUGUUUCUGUGCUCACCUCUCCCACCCCUUUUAGGACAGUAGUGGGCCCAAUCAAUUCAAAAUGUUACAUUUUUGCAUUCCGCUUGUCAUUAACAAAAGUCCUCUAAUCAUGAUAAUGGAUGUUUCCACUUAAUUGUGUUAUAAUUACAGUGUUAAUCACACCAGUUAAAUGUUAACAUGAUUGCUAGAUUCGUUGAGCUCCUCUGCAAUCAGCUCCUUAUCAAAAUACAGUAGAGACAAUGAGGGGGACUCCAAUGACACCAUUAUAUUGCAGCCGAGUCCUGCUACAAGAAAGACAGCUGAGGAUAAUUGUCUAUCUCAUAUGAUUGAAGACAUUCUGAAGAACAAACCUGGAGGAGAGAGGAUCAUGAAUGAGUAUGCUCGGACAAAAAUCCUAACAGAUAGCAGAAGACGUGAUAUGGUCAAGAUAUUGGUUGCACAAAUGACAAGUGAACAUGGGACAAGUCCUUCAAGGCAUGUUAAAGAGGACUACGCAAAGGGCAUCAUUGCCUUGUUCCCAUACCUGGCCGAUCCUAGGAGCAAGUUUGGUUAUGAGCAUUAUUACAAUGCAGAAGAUGGGAGUGGAUAUCUAGCAUGGAGACUGAAAUCAGAGGGACGACAGAAGACCAUUUGAUUGUAGUUAGUCUCAUUCAUGACACAUGACCAGAGAAUAAUUGUACGUGAACAAUUGUAUAAGCAAGUGUUUCUUAGUCUCUUUUACUCUUUCAGUAUUUCUUAGUAUUAAUUAUGUUUCUGAGUCAAAUAAAUCCUACUUUUCAUCUGGUGACAUAACUGCAUGCAUGGUCAUCCUUGCAGAGUUUCCGAACCUUGUUUUUUAUAUCUUAUGACGCAAUAUUGUAUACUUGUAUAGAGCAGACAAACCCAGUAAUCUGUAAAAGUUUCACCGUGUUACAGGUGGUCCAAAAGCUGAUAGAGACCCCUUCAGAGAGGAAAACUGUCCAACAACAGAAAGCCUGUGUUGUGAGGCCAUUGCACUGAAGAAUACAGCUGGUGAAGCAAUUGUAAAGGAGAAGAUGAAGCAGACGUUCGCCUAUCGCCAAAAGAUGGUUCAUGACCCGGUGAAGUCCUCUGAAAUAUUCACAGCUGUUCCAAGACAUAGCAGGAAUGAUUGAGCAAGAUUUUAGUCUGAUGUUUGGUGAUGCAACCUCUGCAAAGUUCCUGGAGAAGUGGCCUACUCUCUACAAGCAGAAAGUCAUUGACCAAAGCCGGGGCUUUACAUAGACAGAUGACCUGCAAGACCUGGUUCAAAAUGCUGAAUCCACAACAGAAGUGGAAAAUGGAUGGGACAGUGACAUGUCCCCCACUUUGGUCUUUGUCCACCUUCUGCCACCGUCACCUCAUGGCCGCAAGACACCAGGAAAAAUCUCAGCCAGACAUGCCAGUGACCACAUUGUGAAGUUUAUCAAGACUGGGACCAGCAUCCAGGGGCAUCUGGAAAGCGUCAUGGAAAGCCUUCAACCCUAUCAGCUUGCUGUGGGGACCCAGAGGAGUGGGAUUCACAAGUACUUCAUUGUGAUUGACAAACAUGCAAUACCUUGUAAGUCACCAGACCCUCUUGCCUGUUUUGAUGAGCUAAUUUUGUCUUUGUUACCUCAUACAACCAGGAUCUGGUUAAUGUGUACAACUUCUUGCAAACCACAAUUUAUGAAAUUGAUGUUGAUACCACUAAGGUUAAUCCUAUGGUUGCAGAGUUGAGGGCUCGGAUGCUGCAUUGAGUUACUAAAAGUUUUGAAGUUGCAAAGGGUUAAAACGCAGCAUAGGAAAUAACCUUUUUCAUUUCACACAAACCUUUUCAUAUCAUUCAUCUAAAAUGUUGUAUUUUGCUUGCAAAAGCCCCCAGGCAAAUGCUAAUUCCUUGACAAAACACUUUGUCCACAGACUUUGUCCAGGAAAGACAUUUCGUCUUAAAUGCGGUUAGGCUGGUUGUUCACAAGUUUAUGGCACUUUUUCUGGGUUCAGAAAGCAUCUUAUAAAGCACAUGAACCUUGUUCUGAUCAUGAAGGCCCCUCUACAGCUGAAUAUAGCAGUCAUUUUGAUGACUUGCCAUCAACAAGUUCCCCUUCUGACUCAGUCCUUGUCAAUAAGAGUCUUGCGCUGCAACCAUAGCUGAAUUUAAAGUGCCAGGUGUAGGUGAAACAACCAGUAACUCUUUGGUAAUUUCCAUGCAAGAGAUAAUUGAUGAUAUUCAUAGUCAAGCUAAAGAAUCUGUGAAGAAGUGUGUCUAUACAGGAGCCUAUUAAAAGUGACAUUGAGUGUAAAAUUGAUCAGUGUUUUCAAAAAAUUGAAAAUCCUUUUGGUGUAUUAAAUUCUGAAAGUAAGAGAAGGCAGUAUUUUAUAGAAAAGUGGGGAAGGGUAGACCCAGUGAAUACGUUCUUGGUACAAGAUCUGAUACUCAACGCAAUCGGACUACUGGAGGCUAUGAUCCAUUUUGUUGUUUCUAAUACAUUUGUUUACAUGCCAAUUUUGAAAACAUUACAGUUUAUUUUCAAACACCCUAAUAAAAAGGAGAUGAUGCAGACCUGAUUCCAGUUCAAGAAAACUUUGACUUAUGUGAUGGAGAUCUGUUCAAGAGCCAUGCUCUAUUUUCAAAACAGAAGCAUGCAAUUCAGAUACAGCUUUUCUAUGAUUUUGAAACUGCAAAUCCUCUUGGAUCAAAACAGGGAAUACAUAAGUUUCACCUUACGGAAUUUUCCUCCAAAGUUCAAGUCAUUUCUGCUUAAUAUUCAUUUGGUUGCUUUAUUUCAUGCCCAAUACGUUUAAACAUAUGGCUUUUCUAAAAUACUUGAUCCAAUUGUGCAGGAUAUUAAAGUACUUGAGAGGGAUGGAAUUAUGGUCCCCUUGUAUGAUCAACCAGUGUAUGGAACUAUUGUCCAAGUUACAGGUGACAACCUUGGUCUUCACUGUUUAUUUGUUUUUGUUGAAUCAUUCAGUGCCAGAUAUUGUUGCCUCUUUUGCCUUGCUGAGAAAGAGGACUUUCAGACUGAAUUUGAUGAAGAUUCACCCUAGAUAGUUAUGCCAACUCGAGCACUUCAUGCAAUGGCAGACAUUUAACACCAACAGAGUAAUGAUCGGUCCGGGUAAAAUGCUAUCUUUAAAUAUGGUGGACUGGGGCUGUAAGAUGGCUGAGAUUCUUCAGGUACCAAUUGACACCAUGGUUUUAAAUGUUAAAUGGGCCAAACACCAUGGAAAUAUGUAUCGUUUAGUUUGUCUUAAAGUCAUUGUGAGAUGCCAGUUUUUCAGAAAAUCCACCAUGUUGUUACUGUUUACUUUUGCCCUACAAACAAUAUAUAUUGAUGAGCAUUUUAAUGCAUAUAGAGUUGGGUGUACAACAGAGGGAUCUUAUGUAGUUGAUGUUAAAGAGCUUUUCUGUCUCAAAGCAUUUGAUAUACAGAUGUCUUACAGUUAUGAUUCAAGUUUGUUUAUUGUCCCAUACUGUUUCCUGUGACUCUAAAAACUGCACAGUAAGCUCUUUAAAACCAAGAUGUAUUGUAUUGCAAUAUUGGCUUUUUUAUUUACUUCUAAUAAAGGUGGGACAGAUAUCAAAAUGUAAUUUUACAGAGGCCACAAUUUUAUCAUCAGUGUUUUUGAUAUGAGAUGCCAGUUUCAUAAAAUCCUCCAUGUCAUUGUUAAAUGAUUGAAUUGCAAUAUUGAGCCUUUUUAUCUACAUGUAUUAAAGUGAACAGAGGCCAACAUUUCAUUUUAGUCCACAU